rnacentral:rRNA from 1 species
UAGCUUGCUACUUGCUGACGACCGGCGCACGGGUGCGUAACGCGUAUAGAAUCUACCUUAUACUGGGGGAUAGCCUUUGGAAACGAAGAUUAAUACCCCAUAGUAUGUUUGAAUGGCAUCAUUUAGGCAUUAAAGUUUCGGCGGUAUAAGAUGACUAUGCGUUCUAUUAGUUUGUUGGUAAGGUAACGGCUUACCAAGACUACGAUAGAUAGGGGUCCUGAGAGGGAGAUCCCCCACACUGGUACUGAGACACGGACCAGACUCCUACGGGAGGCAGCAGUGAGGAAUAUUGGACAAUGGAGGCAACUCUGAUCCAGCCAUGCCGCGUGUAGGAAGACUGCCCUAUGGGUUGUAAACUACUUUUAUAUGGGAAGAAUAAGGUCUACGUGUAGACUGAUGACGGUACCAUAAGAAUAAGCACCGGCUAACUCCGUGCCAGCAGCCGCGGUAAUACGGAGGGUGCAAGCGUUAUCCGGAAUCAUUGGGUUUAAAGGGUCCGUAGGCGGGCAUAUAAGUCAGUGGUGAAAGUCUGUGGCUCAACCAUAGAAUUGCCAUUGAUACUGUAUGUCUUGAAUUAUUGUGAAGUGGUUAGAAUAUGUAGUGUAGCGGUGAAAUGCUUAGAGAUUACAUAGAAUACCGAUUGCGAAGGCAGAUCACUAACAAUAUAUUGACGCUGAUGGACGAAAGCGUAGGUAGCGAACAGGAUUAGAUACCCUGGUAGUCUACGCCGUAAACGAUGGAUACUAGUUGUUUGGUUUUCGGACUGAGUGACUAAGCGAAAGUGAUAAGUAUCCCACCUGGGGAGUACGUUCGCAAGAAUGAAACUCAAAGGAAUUGACGGGGGCCCGCACAAGCGGUGGAGCAUGUGGUUUAAUUCGAUGAUACGCGAGGAACCUUACCAGGGCUUAAAUGUAGAUUGACAGGACUAGAGAUAGUUUUUUCUUCGGACAAUUUACAAGGUGCUGCAUGGUUGUCGUCAGCUCGUGCCGUGAGGUGUCAGGUUAAGUCCUAUAACGAGCGCAACCCCUGUGGUUAGUUGCCAGCGAGUAAUGUCGGGAACUCUAGCCAGACUGCCGGUGCAAACCGUGAGGAAGGUGGGGAUGACGUCAAAUCAUCACGGCCCUUACGUCCUGGGCCACACACGUGCUACAAUGGUAGGGACAGAGAGCAGCCACUGGGCGACCAGGAGCGAAUCUAUAAACCCUAUCUCAGUUCGGAUUGGAGUCUGCAACUCGACUCCAUGAAGCUGGAAUCGCUAGUAAUCGGAUAUCAGCCAUGAUCCGGUGAAUACGUUCCCGGGCCUUGUACACACCGCCCGUCAAGCCAUGGAAGCUGGGGGUACCUGAAGUCCGUCA